AGGAGCCGAAUGAAUGGAGAGGUUCACAUCUGGUUCUGUGAGCGCCUCGGGGGAGAUUCCCCGGGGCGGCUCGAC
rnacentral:misc_RNA from 1 species